rnacentral:lncRNA from 1 species
AGGAGCCUGCCCUCUUGAGCUCUUGUGGUGACCUGGGAAUCAAUGUGUGAGGUGGUGCUAUGUAGCAGGAACCCCUCUUGCUUUGCAAAUAGUUUUUUGUUUGUUUUCCUUUUUGCCCAAUAGAGCCCUGCUCUACUGACCCUUCAAUGUGCCCGUGUGCCUAAAUAUUCCUGGUCGUGUGAAAAGAACCCAGGUAUUAGCUGAACUAAGGAGCACAAUUCUGCAACAUUUUGGCACCCAAACACGGGGCUUGAGAAAUGAAUGCAAUUGGAGAAACUGGUUGUUUUACCAGGCGUUGAUUGGAAAUGUGUGCUUCCCUUUAAGCAGUCAAGCUCAACUUGCAGAACUGAUGGGAACCCCUUGGGAAAACUGGCCUCAAAUGUUUGUCUACACAGUCCACAUACAGGGUUCUUAACCUGCGUUUUUACCUACAUUUUAGACUGACCCUGCUUGUGCCUGUGAACCAACCAACAAUCUCUGGCUGCAGCUCAGAAAGGACAAAAGAGAAUGGGUAAUGUAAAAACCUGGAUCAGUAUUUUAGUUCUGAACAAUUAUCCUGCAAAUCCUGCCAGCUGAUGGGAAUAAAUAGGAUGCCCAUGAUCCGGAGGUUUACUUUUUGGGAAAGUAAAACCAAGGGAGCUAACCAAAGUAAAACCCCAUACACCCAAAUCUGAGCAAGCAUAACUAUAGCCACCAGUUAUCUGGGUGUGUCACAAGACACUCUUUUCUUUCCUUUGUUGGAGGAGAACUCAUUUCCACAGCUUCACUUUAGCAUUAUGGCUUAUGUUAAGGAGUCUAUGCAACUUCCAUGCUGAGACACGUUUUUGGUCCCAAAGUUAAUUCCAAGCUUUGUGUCAAAGGCCUAAGAAAACUGGAUCUUAGGGAUCCAGAAGCCAGACAAUAAUGAAAGUCAAAAGGCACAGCACAGGUGAGCAUGACUAAUUCCCGCUGAUUAAGCCAAGCUUCCUGUUUCAUGGAUAAAGGUCAUGCUAGUAUCCAUGGCAUAAAUGAGGUCUAGAGAACUAAAAGGCUACUGCCAGCAGGGGAGAUAGGGAGGACAUAAGACAGGGCAGCUAUUCCCAUCCCCUAGACCCCCUGUUAACAUGGAUGAAAGCCACUUUGACACCCAUGGGUGGCACCCUGUCACAGUUGGUGGGACUCAGCAAUACAGGGACAGAGGAAAGAAAGAGGAACAACUCACUUUCUCUCCCUCACACACCCUGAGUAUUUGCUAGAAAAAGAAAGGAACCAGGCACACAUGCUCCCCUAUUUCUAGAUGAGUAGCCAUUCAUCUUUAGUCUGCACCCUUUUAGAACAUGUCCUGAACCCCUGGGACUCUUCUGAAAAAAAUGCCUUCUUUUUUCCUUUUUCUUCCUCUGUCCUCUAUUCACUGGUAGGUAGGUAAUGGUGUCCCAUACCACAGAACACUUCCCUCAGAUGCAUCCUUCUAACUGGGAGGAGUUAAUUUCUCAAACCGUAGACUAAUUGGCUUAGGAUUAGGUUCAGGGGAAGGGAACACAGAAACAUGACAUGCCAGCAAAAGGGUAAAAGGUUUUUUUUCCCCGUUGGGCUUUUGGCCUCUCUCUCCCUGUGCAAACUGGUAAAAGGCGUCUGGAUUUUCUAGUUGUCCUUACCCACUGCUUGUUUCGUUUUGAUACAUAUUUUCUAAUAACCUGUUUGUCUCUUCUCACUUUUAGGCCAUCAAACUCCAGUCUGCACCUGGAGCCUUGGAUGAUGGCCUUUUUUACUGGGAACCCUGAAAUAGGCCUCUGAGGGAAAUCUGAUUGCCAUUUUCCCAAAACAGCUUCCCUGACAAUAGGAAGCAAUUAAGAUUGGUCUUCAUCCUUAUCUUUAUCCUUAUUCUAAUGGCAGUUAGAGGUACUUCUUUAGAGGGGGGAAUGAGACAGCCAAAUGCCUAGGCAGAUAAAAAGGUGUACCUGGAAAAUUUCCAACCCGUCACACAAGUGUUUACAUCAGAUGCUUUUGUGUAGAUGAGGGAAACUUCCCAGGGCUUGUCUGGGUAUGCCCACAGUGGACUGGAGCCCAAAAUGCACACUGGAGGAAGUGGAUGGAGCCACGUGGAUGUCAUGCCUUAUGCAGGGGAGGAGCCUGCUCUCUUCAGCUCCUGUGGUAAUGUGGGAAUCGAUCUGUGAGGAAACACUUUCUGAAAAUGUCAGAACUCUUGAAAACAUGGAUGAGGAAAAGCAUAAGUACUGCUUUAUGCUUUUCUUAUGAAUUUUAAAAGAUGUAAUUUAAAGGUACUUUAAAGUGAUAUUUGUGCCCUUGUAACUGAUUCAAAGUAGACUGCUAAGGACAAUAAGUAAUAAGAGUCUACAAAUAUCAGUAAAUUAUGAGAAAAAACGGUCUAAUGGUACUUAAAAUUGCAUUGUGAUUUAUUAAAUAACAUUGAACAGCUCCACCUGUAACAUUAAGAUUCCAUUUGAGCAUAUAGAAAAUAUAUUUAUCGCAACCUGAAGUGAUUUGGAAAGUAUGCUGGGAAGAAAAUAUAUUUACAAAUUAGUCUCAGAGGGUAGGUAUCCUGUAGCCAGAUGGAAUAAGAAGAGAGGGAAGGGAGAUUUUGUUCAAAGGGGGAGCAUAAGCUAAGGAAUAAAGCCACAAACAAUGAUUAAAUUAGGUAAAGUGCAAUUAGCUGAAUAUUGCAUAAGCAUACAUAUGGGAAGAAGUGGAAAAAGGAGUGACAAUAUGAAGCUAAAGGGUUUGAAGUGUUCAAGAUAAUACUAGGCUUCCUAGCCUAUUCCGAGACAUCUUGUUUUAGAGUGCAAUAGAUAAGAACUCUAAGGAUGAAAGUAGGAGACAUGCAUUCUAGUCUACGUUUUGGUUAAUGGACUGAAAGUGAAAGAUGGACUGAAAUUGGGGGAUGGAAUAAAAAUGUGAUAGAAUAGAAAAUAGAAAAAGCAAUUAGCCUAAUGUCAUUGAUACUUAGAGAAAAUAUGGAAAAUAGUAAAUUAGUGAUAUAUAUCUUUUCUAAUUCACCAGGGUGAGUGAACAAAGGAAAUCGGAUUUAAAAGUAUUCAUGACAUAGAUGCAAUAAGGUUUCUCAGUCAGACAUAGCAAAUUGAGGGAAGGGAAGAUUUAGAGGAUUGGAAAAUGUCUUGCUUGUAGACUAAUAGGAUAUCAAUAAGCCAUAUGAGCAAUAAUUUGAAAUAGUUUUUGUAAAGUAUCAUGAAGGUAAACCCUGUUUAGAACAAAUUAGAUUUGAAGUACUUGUGACAAAUGCAAUUGACAAUGCCUUUAUGCAGCUGGAAAAUUGUUGCUUAGCAGAAAAGCUUGUGCUGGACAAAUAGAUGUCCAAAUUGAAUAGAUGUUUUCUUAAGCUGAACUAAUUGAGACAAAUAUCCUUAUUAAAUCAAAAAAUUAAAAAUUGAAAUAACUUACCUAUGAUAGGGUAAAUAAUGUUAUUAAUAUACACAAGAAAUAUGUGAUGUAUAUGUGUAUGUACAUAUGUAUACAUAGUAAUAAUACAUAGUGCUAUUUUUAAAUGAUAUUUUACAUAGUGCUUUUUUAAAUGAUUUUUCAAUCAUCGUUGUUGGUCUGUGUUAUUUUAAUCAUCAAAGCUGAUUGAUUUCUGUUUUUGUGUUUUUUUUUGUUUUUUUUGAGGUGGAGUCUCACUCUGUCACCCAUGGUGGAGUACAGUAGUGCGGUCUUAGCUCACUACAAACUCCACUUCCCUGAUUCAAGUAAUUCUUGUGCCUCAGCCUCUCGAGUAGCUUGGAUUGCAGGCAUGCACCACCACGAGCUGCUAAAUUUUUUGUAUUUUUUGUAGAGGGGUUUUGCCAUGUUGGCCAAGCUGGUCUCAAACUCCUGACCUCAAGUGAUCCGCCCUGGCUUCCCAAGCCCAGCUGAUUCCUGUUUAAAUAAAAACUUACAAAGAUCUUCCCACAAGUACUUUAUCUUACAAUUUACUGAACAAUAGAGGCAGUGAAGAUGUUUUUCAGAAAGCAAUUGUGAUCCUGACAUUUUCUUCUUAUAAUCCUGUGCUUUCCUCAUUUUUUUAUAUUAAAAGUAAUAGUUCUUGUGAUGGCAACUAGGAUUUGUAACAACAUGUACCCUCAUUUCCUGCAUGACCUUUUUUAUGUCACUUCUUCACAUGCAAAGUAUACUCCCUCAGUGUCAUUACAUUAUUUGAUUUUUGCCCUUUCCCUCACCUUUCCAUGUGUUUAUUUGCCUAUGCCCAUCUCCUAGUCACAUUUUAUCUAGUUAACGCCAACUUGACUUUCAAUGCUGUUCAAGAUUUACCUCAAUCUCAAGUGUUUUCUCUUUAUAUUCCAUACACGCUUAGCUUGGCUGCCAAUCCUCUUGGCUGCCAAAGAAUCCCAAAUUAUCUCUUUCAAAAAUACAAGAAAUAAAGGAUGGAGGAUAGGAAGGAGGGUGGUCAGGAAAGAACAAAGAAAGGAGGGGAGAGGAAAAAAAGAGAGAAAGAAAGAGAAUUAAAGUUAAGGAGGAAGAAUUUCACACUGAAUUAAAAUUGAUAAUAUUCAGGAAUGAUUUUAUAGUAGGCAUACAUUGAUAAAUAUUAGUUAAAUUAAUGAAUUAUUCCAAAAGAUCAUGAUUUGUAAAAAUUACCCUGAAGCACUUUAGGAAUAUUACAUUGAAAUAGGUAUGCAAUUUCUAAAGAAACUGGACUGCAAAAAUAGCCAUUGUGUGUACCUGUGGACCAGAAUAUUAUAUUUUGCUUAAGUUUGAAGUGUUAAAGUGCCCAACGUGCUCUUAUUUUAACCUAGCAAAUUUUCAGCAGAACUUAAGCUCAUAUAGUAUUUGAUUUUUUCAUUUCUCACAACUGUUGGAAUUCUGUUUUAUUGAAAAUUAUACAAUAAAAUGUUAAAAAAUCUUUGUUCCUGCAGUUAUGCAAUCUUAUGCCAAAGUCAAUAAAUUAUUAAAUUAAAAUCAAACCCACUAAGCCUAACAAUUUGAGAAAAUGAUUAUUAAAACAUAUACCAUUUAGAAGGGCAAUGCCUUUUUAAUAUUAUAGUGAAGACAACCCUAUCAAUUAUUUAAUACACCAAGAAUACAAGGAUAUAAAAUCUUUUUCUCUCAUAUAUCACAUUAUCUGAUGUAUUUAGCUGUGAUGACAUUCCAGAAAACAUCACUUUUUAAAAUUUCUAAGAUUUUAUUAUGUUGCUAGCAAAUCGAUUUUUUUCAAGUACUGUAACAAAAUCCCUAAAUGGGCUUUAUGAGAACUAUUUUCAGUGUGAUAUUAAUCAUAUUUUAUUUAUCAUCCAUACAUAGAUGGUAGCUUAUCUGGUAUUCCUAGUGUUUGAAGUGAAGAGUAACACACACACACAUCCCAAUACCAAUUUAAUUGAUAAAUAUAUAAUCAUUUGUUUUCAAAUAUUUAUGUUGAUACUUGCUUGUGUACUUACUUGUAAUGUAGGUCUGUAAAAGGGACUGUUUUCUUUCUGUGAAACUGAAGCUUAAAGCAGUGCUUGUCACAAAUUCAAAAUCACCUUGCUUUGUCAACAUUUUCAGAUGUUUUUGGCUCAGUCUGAUGACAGCAUCAGUGCAGUAAAGGGAUCUUAUUGAAAUGUUUUAACUAAAGAUAAAAUGCCACCACUAGGAGAAAAAUAAAAUCAAGGAAAUAAACAGAAAAUCAAUAAAUGUGAAAUGUAUUAUAAAUUUAUAUAAUAACAAUGUUGUAUGCUAUAAACAUCUCACUUUGUAAAAUUAACAAGAAUUCAGUGAGGCAGAUCAUUUUCUAUGUGUUCAGAAGUCAAGUCUUUGAUGGCUAAUUUUUAUAUUACUUCAUUACAAUAUCUCUACUGAAGCAAAAUAAUUGCAAAUCUUUUUGAAUGAAAUCAAUUUAUCUUUAAUUUUAGAUAAUAUUUGGUAUAGUUGGCAUAGUUUUGUCACAAAGCAUAGCUAACAUCAAUGUAGCCUUACGACUUCAAAUGUCUUUAUAGAUCUUUUCUGAAAUUGCAAAAUUUUACUUUGAAAUUAUUGUUAAUAUUUACGUUGCACAACCACAAAUGUAGAAAUAAAAUUAUAAAGUCUCCAGAUAAUGUUUUAUUUUAACCACACAUAUGUUGUGAUAGUUUCAAAUAAAUGAAAGCUCUACUGAUUUAUCAUUUUCAACAUCUUUACAUUAUUUAAGUAAUAUUAAUUAUAUUUAUGUAAAAAUACCUGAAUAGUCAUAACGAAAAUUUAAUAAUAAUGUAUAAUAUAUUGUUAACAUCUUUUAUUUUCACAAAAACACCAAGGAAGAAGCAGUGAGUAUUUUUUAUUUAUUUUAAAAAUUAACUUUUCAAUAAAUUAUUUAGGAAUGACUGGAAAUGUGCUGAGACAAAGAAGCAGUUGUCACUGUACACAAACAUGAAAUCAAUUACCUUUUGGAGAGUUUAUGAUGUGUGAGAGCUAGUGAAGUUACAUUGCAGAAGAGCAUAUAAGGAAAUCCAGAUCUGUAUAUAUUGUAGUAUAGUUUUAGUAUAAAUCUCUAAGAUUACACUUUAGACUAAGCCACAUAGUCAAACUGUUGUCUAUUUAUUCCUUUUGAAGAUUGAAACUCCCACAACUUUGGCAGACCAACUCCUCAGAAAACAUUAUUCUUUGACAUCAAUAUGUUUUGCACAAAAUUGAAUGGCAAGUGAAAGGCAUCAAAUGGAGCUGUCAUUUAAAUGUGCUUGCCAACUAGCUUGUUUAUCAAAACAUUCCAGACCCUUUCAAAUUCUCAUUUACAUUGUUUCUUGUUUACCACACCCAUAAAUUUGUAUUACCAGCAUAUUUAACUAUCCGGCUAUUUUGGAGAUUGAAAAAAGAAGACCUGAUUUAUCAUGUGCAAUAUCUCACACAUCUGUCAUUUCUAUUCUACCGCAAUUCGGUGAGUUCAGCCUCUUUUUACUUCAUGUUUGAAUAAUCGCAAUAGAUUUUAUACUGUUCUCACUGCUAAACUUGCUCCCCCUAUUACCCUACAGACACUCAUAUUCAUCUUGCAUAAUACCACCAGAUUAUUCUUUGUCCAUCUAUUUUCCUAGAUAUUUGUCCUCCACUUUCCUGUCUUUUUUUCUGCACUUCAUUCUACCCAUCUUAGUGAAUAGACAUCUUUUCAACUCUCUCAGGCUAUAUAUACAUCAAUUUUUCAAAAUCCAAGUAAAACUUCACGUCCUUGAGAGAAUUUUAGAGAGCGUGUAAUACCUACAUUUUUUUUUACCAUUUAUUAGGAAUAUAUCUCAGCCCCAGUUAUGUGAUUAUUACAUAUUAUAGUAUAUUAAUGUUUGCAAACUCCUUGUAAAAUCAUACACACCCCAUACUGCUAUAUUCAUUUCAAUAGCAAAACAGUUUCUUUUCAAUUUUGUAAUAAAUAUAUUAAGAUCCUGUCCUCCUCCAGGCCAAUUUUCUUCCCCUAUAUUUAAAGUGCUCUGAUGGAGGUAACUUAUUAAUAAUUUGAGCCUAAAACAGCUUUUCAAAUAUGCAUUUCAUUUUUGCACACCAAGCUGGUGUGUGCCUGCAGGCGCUAUUUCUAUUAAGUGAACAGCUGGAUAUUGUGUAGUGGAUUGACCAGGUGUUUGAGUGAACUCAUUAGUCACCAUAUAGAAGCAACUUAAAAGAAUGAGUCACAGUGAUAGUCAUCUCACUUUGGGAAAAGGAAAAGAAAUAAAUAAAAAUGUUUCAUAUCUAUCAGACAGCCACAAAGCACAGUCCCUAUCAACAGGAGCAAAUUCAAAUAAAAAUGGCCCCACCAUACAUAUUUUAUUUGAUUUACAUCUAGCACUGAAGAUAUACUUUAUGAAUUUUUCCUUUAUUCUGACAGUCAUAAAAUAAACGGAGGUGAAUCAUAUAACUUUUGAAUAUCUACAUAGCCAGAGAUAAACUCUGCAUAUUAAAUAUCUUCCAAUAUUACAUCUACCAAAAAACAUAGCAGAGGUCAUAUUUAUGUUGCAACUGAGAAAACACUCAAAUUAUUUAAAGAGAAAAUUUAAAUACUUUACUAAAAUUCACAUUAAAUUCUGAAUUUUACAUGGGUUUAUGUGGCUCUACCAUUCAUACUGUUGAACUUCUGAGUUAUUAAUAUUUACAAAUAACCCAUGUUCUUUCAAAUGAUUCCAAUGCUUACAGAAACACAUAUAAAAGUACAUACAAUGAAAUAAAACUGUGGCAAUGUAGAAAAAUGAAAACUAUAAUAUGACAACGCAAUGAAGCCAGAGUUAAUGUGAGCACAUGAAAUGAAAUCCUAACAUUUUCUCUUCAGCUUUGUCUCUGUGUCUUACUAUGCUAAUGUAGGUAAUAAGCAGUAUUGAUAGCUGGAAGAAGUAAAUUAGCACAUGAAAAGAACCUUGAUUAUUAUUUGUGCAAUUCCUGGAGUCCACUGAUACUUACCAACUCUUAAAGCUUAGAUCUAGGGUAUCCAAACACUGCUUCCUUUCCAAGAAGGAAACAUACAAAAAAACUAAGGCAGCAUGCUCUAAUUCUUUUUUUCUUUUUUUUCUUUUUUAGAUGGAGUCUUGUUCUGUGGUCCAGGCUAGAGGGCAGUGGCAUGAUCUCGGCUCACUACAAGCUCUGCCUCCCGGGUUCACGCCAUUCUCCUGCCUCAGCCUCCUGAGUAGCUGGGACUACAGGCGCCCGCCACCACGCCUGGCUAAUUUUUUGUAUAUUUACUAGAGAUGGCUAGUGUUAGCCAAGAUGGUCUCGAUCUCCUGACCUCGUGAUCUGCCCACCUCAGCCUGCCAAAGUGCUGGGAUUACUGGCGUGAGCCACCGUGCCUGGCCAGCAUCCUCUAAUUAUUAUUCAUAGUUUGUGAAUUUAGGCCUACGUGAAUAAUAAUAUAAUAUUUACUAUGAUGUUACUAUCUACCAACCUUAUUUUUCUUUUCUAUAAAAUAGGAGCCAAAAUAAUAUUUAUGUCAUACCUUAUGAAGUUAAAAUAAAAUAUAACGAAUGAGGGGCUUAACAAUGAGUGUCAUUUUGUAAUUACUUUGUACCAUUAUUAAUUGCUGAGACAGAAUAUGGUAUCACUAGUCAUCUGUAUCUAUUGCACAACUUUAUUUUGAUUCAUUCCUUACUAUUUUGCAUAGAUAGGCCUAAAUUUUUGAUCCACUGCUCAACUCCUGUCUUUAAACCAUUGGUUCUCAAAUAGAGUUGAUUUUGACACCUAGGGAACAUUUGACAACAUAUGGAGAUAUUGUUGAUUUUACAGGGCAACCCUUCAUAAGCACAGAAUUAUCUGGCCCCAAAUGUCGACAGUGUCAAGUUCGAGAAACUCUGCACUAGGCUUUUCUGUCUGGUUACUCACCCCUCUUCUUUGCACUGCCCCCAGUUUUAUGGAUAUUGAAUUCCUGAUUUCUCACUAUAUUAAUUGCACUUAUAGAUAUUCUAAAUUGAUUUGUAUAUAUCUUCCUAGUUUGACCCAUUGCUUUUAACUGAAUUUUACUGGGCUUUUAUAAAGGCCAUUUCCAUGGAGUUUAGUCAUUAUCUUCACCAAAUUUUUAUUUGCUUCAGUCUGGGGAGGAACUCUAUAUUAAAAAAUAAAAACAAACCCAAAAACUAAUUUAUGAAAGACAUUUUAUAAUGUAAUUACUUAAACAUUUUUUUUCUUCUUUCUCAUACGAUCUUUUAAAUUCAGUGAGUGACAUGUGGUUUUCAGGCUGGGUCAGGAAGUUUGCUUGGACGGGGAAAUUCUGUCUGCUGAGACACUAGGGGAGCAAAUGCCUAUGUGGGCACAGGCUGGUCACUGACCUCCUAGGGUUCCCUGACAAUAAAUUAGUCCUAGUUGAGGUCGCCAUCAUCAGAACUUAAUUGGUCCCUGGUACUGGUGAAUCUCUGCACCACAGAGACUAAUCAGUUACAGAACUCAGCUUCUGGGCAUAGGCAACCUUUUCUGUUUUUUCAAUUUUUUGUCAGCAAAGUUGAGAAAAUGAACACACUCAAACAGCCCAUUUCUUAGCUUAUCAAUAUCCGUACCCACUUCUUUCCCUCAUCAACAUGUAUUUUCCAUAUUUUGUUGGUAUUAACCUCUGACACUCAUCCACACAAGAAAGUCUACAAAGCCUAAACUAACUUUUAAACAUUAUUUAAGGUAAUAGCUUUGUCUUCCACCAGAAACCUGGCGACAUUUUUAAAAGGAUUUGAAGAGAUAUAUACCCGAGGGACAGAGAGAAAAAUUAGUGCUGACCAGUCUGGGCCUACUUGACUAACACAAAAUAGAUUAAAUUAAUAAAAACAAGAUGUUCUGCAUUUAUAAACAUGUUAACUCUUUUUAAUGUGUAUGACUCAUUAAUGAGUUCAUAAUUAGAUUUUGAAGGAUUUCAUUCUGGACCUUGCAGAUUGUAUGUAUCUUUCUGGUAAAUUAGGAAGUAUAAUUUUUCAAUAAAAAAGCUCACUGGAAACCCCUGUAACAAGUAAUAAAUAUUUAAAAUUUGCAGAAAUGUUUACUUAUUCAAUAAAUACUGACUCCACAUUAAGAAAUGCUAGAGAUAAAGCAUUUCUAAAGGCAAAUUCUACUGUUUCCUGGUUUUACAUUCUAGAUUUUAAGACAAAGAUGGCUGCCUUGAAAUUUUAGUUAUGUGAAAGAAAUUUCGUAAUGAUAUAACUUUUUCUUACUCUGACUCUGUGAGACUUUUGUUUAUAUUUUAUGAAACUAUUUCUAUAGCACAUGUUAUAUAAAUAUAUUUGAGAAAUCAUUUUUAGCUUUCAGAAAUUAGUUUGCUUAAUACAUUUUAAUUUUAAUAAAGCUCCAUUCCUCUAGUCCUUUCAUAUCUGGAAUAUAUUUCCUAUACAAUAUCUUCUAUAUUAUUUAAUACUGCUGUUUUUUAAAAGAGAAAUUGAAACCUUUUACUCAUAUAUACCAGACUUCCAAAACUGUCUUGGUUUGAAAAUCAGUUCUCCAAAAUACUUUCUCUAACUUAACUUUAUAUCUUAGGUGCAAAUACAAUCCUGAUAAAUACUAUAGUCAGGCAUUUUAAAAACUUUAUGUUUCCCAUAUACUCAGCAGAGUAUCAUCUUCUUGCCCUUUCCCUCACUAUGGUAUCCUUCAAGAACUUAUUAGCUCAAAUUCCAAAUCCUCAAUGAAACAAUCAUCUAUCAAUUUCAUAAUUCACUGUUUUAUUCAAUAAAUAUUUAGUGAAUGAUUUCUGUGUGUCAGGAGUGUAUUGGGAGCUUGGGGACAAAGUGGUGGGCUAGAUAGGCAU